rnacentral:misc_RNA from 1 species
AACGCACAUUGCACUCUCUGGUAUUCCGGAGAGUAUGCUUGUUUGAGUAUCAGUAAACACCUCAAAUCUCUUGUUUCUUGUGAAUAAGAGAAUUGGACUUGAGCAAUCCCAACUCUUGCAAAAGAGGCGGGUUGCUUGAAAUGCAGGUGCAGCUGGACAUUCUUCUGAGCUAAAAGCAUAUUUAUUUAGUCCCGUAAAACGGAUUAUUACUUUUGCUGCAGCUAACAUAAAGGUUGAAUGGCCAAUAUGGCUGACUGAUGCAGGAUUAACAGAGAAUUUAUUCUUUGUAAACUCGAUCUCAAAUCAAGUAAGACUACCCGCUGAACUUAA